UACGUAGGGUGCAAGCGUUAUCCGGAUUCACUGGGUUUAAAGGGUGCGUAGGUGGGUUGGUAAGUCAGUGGUGAAAUCUCCAGGCUUAACUUGGAAACUGCCAUUGAUACUAUCAAUCUUGAAUGCCGUGGAGGUCAGCGGAAUAUGUCAUGUAGCGGUGAAAUGCUUAGAUAUGACAUAGAACACCAAUUGCGAAGGCAGCUGGCUACACGAAUAUUGACACUGAUGCACGAAAGCGUGGGGAUCAAACAGG
rnacentral:rRNA from 1 species